AAAGAGAAUUUGAUUCUGCCUGUUGUUUACUGUUUGGUAAGAUUAAUGGAAACUGAAGAGGGGAUUUGGUUUCUAGUGACACUAUUGCGAUUUUGAUUAGAAGGUAUACCAGAGCAGGGAUGUCAGUAGCUGCAAUUCGAACAUUUAAAUAUGCGAGCAGUUCAGACUUGAUUUGUAAUUCUGAUGCUGGAAUGAGCUUGUUUGAUAUUGUUGGAUUCCCCCUGUAAGGAAGGCAUGUUAGGGGACUAUAGAGUACUUUGACAGGAAUGUGGAAAAGGAUACGUGUUGGGCUCCAUCCGUUAGGAUAUAUAAUACACUGUUAAAUGGAUGGUCUAGAUCAAGAAAGCUCAAGCAUGCAGAGACUUUGGUUGGAAAUGAAGAAAAGGAAUGUGAAACCGAGUAUUGUAACAUAUGAUACACUGGUAGGAGGAUAUUGCCGGAUGCGUCGUGUUGAGAGGGCUAUUGAAUUGGUUGAUGAAAUGAAGAGAGAAGGGAUUAGAUCAAAUGCCAUUGUAUACAAUCCCAUUAUUGAUGCAUUAGCAGAAGCUGGUAGGUUUAAGGAAGUCUUGGGGAUGACGGAGCACUUUUUCUGUGUGAGACUGGCCCCUCUAUCUCCACCUACAAGGCUGAAGACCUUGUUGGACUAGCAAGAUCCUUACGAUGAUGAUUAGUUGGGAAGUUUUCCCGACCCCAAUGGCUUGUAAUUAUUUCCUUAGGCAUUUUUCAAUGUAGGAAGAUUGAAGAGUGGAUCAAGAUGAUUGAAUCUGGGUACACCUCAGAUCGACUCACUUGCCAUCUUUUGUUGAAGAUGUGUGAGGAGGAGAGACUGGACUUGGCUGUUGAGAUUAGCAAGGAAAUGAGAGCUAGGGGAUGUGAUAGUCCUUUUCUUUGUCAAAUGCAUAGAUUUGAAGAUGCAUUUGCAGGAUUUGAGGACAUGAUAGGGAGAGGUAUAGUUCCUCGGUACCUUACUUUCCAUGGAUUGAAUGAUGAGUUCGGGAAACAGGGAAUGAUUGAGCUGGCAUGGAGACUGAGUAAUCUGACGUCUUUUGUUUCGCAUUCAAGAAAUUUUCCAAAUAGAUAUAACGUUCAUAGAGAUGCAUCACUGCGAGCAGAACAUCUAUAUUGCAGAAGACAAGAGCAAUGUCUGAAAUACUAAAGUCUUGUAAUAAUCCUAGUGAACUUGUUAAGCACAGAAGUUCAUCUCGGAAUCCCGUAUCAAAUGCAAAUCGGUUGAGCCCUUCAAAGACAUGAAAUCCCAUCCCCUAGACGGUAAUAACCCUUCAAAGGCAUGUGAAAUCAGAGAACCUCACAAUCAGUGUGGGAAAACUUUUCAUAAUGUGUUUAUAGAAGAAUCCCAUUUCUAAAAUUGAAUUGCUUAUUACAUAAUGAAGCAGCAUCGACGUCUUUUACGAAUACAAAAGCCUCAGAAUCUAGCUGUGGCGAAUGCAGAAAAUGAGAGAAUGAAAGGGAGGGAGCUGAUUGCUAAUGAAUAGUGUUCAGGGACCGGAGAACAGGAUAUUUAAAGAUUUCAAAUGGUUUUUCUGUGCUGCACCUCCCCGCAGUUAAUGUUGAAGUUCCGGCAGGUAAAUUGUUAUCGACUGUUGUUACCAGUUGAAACAGGCUUCACGGUGCAUCUUGCUGGGUAAAGUGUUAUCCUUUAUCGACGGAGGAGCUAGUGUGGCAUCACCCUUUACACGAAUUCUUGCGGUAAGAAAGCUUUAAAGGUUAUGCACGCAUCACUGGAGAUCCUCAAUUACGUUCAUGGUAGACGGUCGCAAGCUGAGAGAGAUUUUGGAGUGUGUAUUACGCUUAUGGAGUGGGAAUCUAAUACAAUGAUGGGCUUGAGUCUUGACAGAAUGGACGGUCCAUUUAGGAAUAUUUGAAUAGUGUAAGAAAGACCAAACGACAGAGACACACACAGAGUUUCAGUUGUUCCUUCAUGUCAAGAUGUGACUGGUUAUUCCGCUAAUUAUUGGUUAGAUUUGAAAAGAAAGCUUGCUUUGAAUAUGUAUAAAUUAAUGAUACUAGGGUGUAAAGGGAGAGUGGUGCUUUCUUGGAAUUGUUUAUAGAUUAAUAAUAUCUUCCCCCAUGGAAGUAUUUUAUCA